rnacentral:rRNA from 1 species
UACGGGGGGAGCAAGCGUUGUUCGGAUUUACUGGGCGUAAAGGGCGCGUAGGCGGCCAGCACAAGUCAGUUGUGAAAUCUCCGAGCUUAACUCGGAAAGGUCAACUGAUACUGUGCGGCUAGAGUGCGGAAGGGGCAACUGGAAUUCUUGGUGUAGCGGUGAAAUGCGUAGAUAUCAAGAGGAACACCUGCGGCGAAGGCGGGUUGCUGGGCCGACACUGACGCUGAGGCGCGAAAAGCUAGGGGGAGCGAACGGG